AUCGCUUCUCAGCCUUUUGGCUAAGAACAAGUGUAGAAGUUGCCAGGGGCAGAUGGUUUCAAAAGUAACAUUACCUAGGAUUUCUCCUAAGCUAAAGGAGGUGAGGAGAAAGGAGUACCUCCCUCUUGAUUGCAUUUCCCAAGAGCUCAGUUUAAUCAGC
rnacentral:snRNA from 1 species